UCCUAAGAAGAAUAAGCAUAAGAGGAAGA
rnacentral:piRNA from 1 species